GCCCCACCAUGGGCAACAGCGCGAGCCGCAGCGACUUCGAGUGGGUCUACACCGACCAGCCGCACACGCAGCGGCGCAAGGAGAUACUGGGUGCGGAAGAUCGCGCCCGAGUACUACGACCACCUGCCGCAGCACCACUCCUGGGUGAAGGUGCUCUGGGAUUUUGUGUUUGAGGACUCCCUGGGGCCCUAUGCCAGGGUGAAGCGGGUGUACAGGCUGGCAAAAGAUGGUCUGUGAGCCCGGGCUGCCUCCUGGUGGUGGCCAUUGUCCCCCAUCGGCCCCUCAGCCUUGCACCCCAGCACUGAGAAGCUACAUUUCCUUCCUGUGCUCUGGACUGCUGCCCUUGUCCCCGAGGAGUGUCCCGCGCAGCCACACCUGGCAACAGCAGUGUGGGCUGCAGGGCUCCGUCUGCACGUGGACU
rnacentral:lncRNA from 1 species